UUCCGGUUGAUCCUGCCGGACCUGACUGCUAUCGGAUUGGUACUAAGCCAUGUGAGUCGUUGCAGCAAUGCAAGGCAGACGGCUCAGUAACACGUAGUCAACCUAACCUAUGGACGGGGAUAACCUCGGGAAACUGAGAAUAAUACCCGAUAGAUCAUGAUACCUGGAACGGUUUAUGGUUCAAAUGAUUUAUCGCCAUAGGAUGGGACUGCGGUCUAUCAGCUUGUUGGUGAGGUAAUGGCCCACCAAGGCUAUAACAGAUACGGGCUCUGAGAGGAGGGGCCCGGAGAUGGGUACUGAGACACGGACCCAGGUCCUAUGGGGCGCAGCAGGCGAGAAACCUUUGCAAUGUGCGAAAGCACGACAAGGUUAAUCCGAGUGAUUCCUGCUAAAGGAAUCUUUUGUUAGUCAUAAAACCACUGAUGAAUAAGGGGUGGGCAAGUUCUGGUGUCAGCCGCCGCGGUAAAACCAGCACCUCGAGUGGCCAGGAGGUUUAUUGGGCCUAAGCAUCCGUAGCCGGCUGUUCAAGUUUCCGGUUAAAUCCACACGCUUAACGUAUGGGCUGCCGGAAAUACUGUUCAGCUAGGGAGUGGGAGAGGUAGACGGUACUCGAUAGGAAGGGGUAAAAUCCUUUGAUCUAUUGAUGACCACCUGUGGCGAAGGCGGUCUACCAGAACACGUUCGACGGUGAGGGAUGAAAGCUGGGGGAGCAAACCGGAUUAGAUACCCGGGUAGUCCCAGCUGUAAACGAUGCAGACUCGGUGAUGCAUUGGCUUGUGGCCAGUGCAGUGCCGCAGGGAAGCCGUUAAGUUUGCCGCCUGGGAAGUACGUACGCAAGUAUGAAACUUAAAGGAAUUGGCGGGGGAGCACCACAAGGGGUGAAGCCUGCGGUUCAAUUGGAUUCA
rnacentral:rRNA from 1 species